rnacentral:rRNA from 1 species
AGCGAACGCUGGCGGCAGGCCUAACACAUGCAAGUCGAACGAACUCUUCGGAGUUAGUGGCGGACGGGUGAGUAACACGUGGGAACGUGCCUUUUGGUUCGGAAUAACUCAGGGAAACUUGUGCUAAUACCGAAUGUGCCCUUCGGGGGAAAGAUUUAUCGCCAUUAGAGCGGCCCGCGUCUGAUUAGCUAGUUGGUGAGGUAACGGCUCACCAAGGCGACGAUCAGUAGCUGGUCUGAGAGGAUGACCAGCCACACUGGGACUAAGACACGGCCCAGACUCCUACGGAAGGCAGCAGAGGGGAAUCUAGCGCAAUGGGGGAAAGCCUGACGCAGCCAUGCCGCGUGAAUGAUGAAGGUCUUAGGAUUGUAAAAUUCUUUCACCGGUGACGAUAAUGACGGUACCCGGAGAAGAAGCCCCGGCUAACUUCGUG